rnacentral:rRNA from 1 species
GGACUACUAGGGUAUCUAAUCCGGUUCGUGCCCCCAGCUUUCGUCCCUCACCGUCGGACCCGUUCUGGUGAGACGCCUUCGCCACUGGUGGUCCCACAGGGAUUACAAGAUUUCACUCCUACCCCCGUAGUACCUCUUACCUCUCCCGGUCCCAAGCCUGGUAGUAUCCCCCGAAAGCCUAACGGUUGAGCCGUCAGAUUUCCCGGAAGACUGACCAAACCGGCUACGGACCCUUUAGACCCAAUAAUAGUGGCCACCACUCGGGCCGCCGGUGUUACCGCGGCGGCUGGCACCGGUCUUGCCCGGCCCUUGCUAACACAUGUGAUUUAGACAUAUGGACAGCCAACAUAGGAUGCUGGCACUCGGUGUCCCCUUAUCGCGGUUUCCCGCAUUGUAAAGUUUUCGCGCCUGCUGCCCCCCAUAGG